AGGGACGGACCUGCCGGAGCCAGGGCUGCCCCAGCUGCAGUGCUGCCGCGGUCGCCGUCGCUGUCAGCGCCUUCUGAAGAGCGACAGAGCCGCAGAAGCCGGAGGUGCAGCGAAUCCCGCACCCGUUUCCAAACAGACGCCUCCGCGAUCCCCCAGCGAGUGGCCACCUCUCUCAGAUCUCAGGUAACCAUUCAUGAGCCCGAGGCUGUGAGAAAUGCUUGCUGUGCACUGGGGAACUCUCACCGGAUUUUCUGAAGCAGUCCCAGAAAUACAUUUCUCAGAUUGAGUCAGCAUUAUCAGCUUACCUGACAAAAGUAUUAACAUAUUCAUUAACAACGUCGAAAGUAGCCUACUUUAAGAGAAAAUAUGCAGAAGAAGAAGAUUUACAUCAGGAUUACCAUGGGUAUUUUCCAAAACACCUGAUAUUACCUGAAGACAGGACUUGCAUCCUCAAACUUUCUUUGGAGAAGCUCAGGUUUCUAGAAGACCCAGAGACUUACUUGAGAAGGUCUGUGUUAAUUAACAAUUUGCUGAGGAAGAUACAUCUAGAGACGGAGAAAGAGAACUAUGAGUACUUUAAAGAAGCUCCCUGUUAUAAGACUGCUUAUUCUGAUACAAGAAAACGGCUGAAGUUUAUGGUACAAGAAUGCUGUUCUCAGUCUCUCUAUUAUGAGGAGCUGCAUUCGUAUCAUAUUGUGCCUUAUGCUUCGGAGAAUGCCAUUUAUGGAAUGGGUUACACUAGCAGCCACUUGGAGCAAAAUUCUCAGUUGCUUAUUUAUAAAAUGAAUUAAAGUAACUGUUA